CCCUAGUAUUUUAUUUUAAAAGGGUUAGUAGUGGGUAGAUGAAAAUCAAAGAAUUUGGCGGUUAAUAAUAAAUUAGAGGAGCUUGUUUGAGGUUAGAAUUUACUCUUUAGAUUUUAUUAUUAUUUUUGUUUAUUCAUCUCUGUUAUUAAAGUAAAUUAAAAAAUUAAAUUUAAUUAAUAUUUCAGGUCAAGAUGUAGCAAUAUAGUGGUAAGGAUUAGCUACAAUUAUAAAAUAUGACGGAUGUAAGUUUGAAAGACUUAUUGUAAGUUGAAUUUAGUGGUAAUGAGGUUUAGGAUAGCCUCAUGAUUUAGGAUUAUUAGUGU
rnacentral:rRNA from 1 species